UUCACAGCCACAUAAUCCAAACUGCAGCAUCAUGCAAACAAGACAGUAGAGCUGAUCAACCCUGAUCCUCAAUGAGCCCUAGCAAGAAUGUGUGCCUGUCUGAAGCCCCAUUAACUUCAAUAUUUUGUGUAGGUGCAUGGUUUGCUCUCAGUAAAUUGCUUUCAGGACUGUGGUCUUAAAUGCUCCUGCCACUUACGAACGUGUACCUUAAAACCCAAUUCUCCCUACGUACACCUUCUGAAAAGGACUACCUUGACUUGAAAAGUGAAAAGGAAAUGUAAGCUGGUGUAACUCACCUGCCAAAGGGUCAGAAGAGUGUAGCAAGCGACUAACCAGUAUAUAAAGCAUCCCCAUAAUAGUGCCAACGAAGGACAAGGCCCUCAUAUAUUCCACUGAGUAAAUCUACUUCCUAAGUAUUUCUGGCCAGCAAGGAUGAGCAGGAAUCAUGGAGCCAGUUUAAGAUAUGAAGAGAAAUUAUGUUUCAAACAAUCUCUAUGUAGCUUGAAAGCGUAUCUCUUUCACCCCCUCUCUGGUAAGCAGUCUUGGUGGUUUCAGCAGAAGGACUUGUGGAGAGUUAAGGUUGUUUUCAACAUGAAUGAGGACGGCAGACUUUGCCCUUAACAUUGUCUUAAUAUGCACCUAUAGCGAAUCAUGCCCGAGCUGUGUCUUCCAACCCCACAAUGAGCUAUUGACCCCAAAAUAGAAGUAAAAUGUAUCCAUUCAGAUAUGACAAAAAGUUCAGAAGUGCACUACAUAAUCAGAUAUCCAGAUAAGCAUCUGCCAUUAUUCUUUCCAUAUUGGAAAAAAAGAAGUAAUGGAAGAGUAACGUUGAGAGACAAUUUGGAUUUCAAGUGGACACAGUAUUUACUUCCGGUCUUUAACUGUUCUGUAUUGUCCUGGUAUGCUGUUCAAAAGGCAUGGAAUUUCAAAAGGUAUGGAACUGUGACUGCAUUUCACGAAGGAGUGAAGUGAUUCCUCUAUUUGUAAUGUGUUUGCGAUCUUUUUGCAUUUUAUAAACUGGAGAUGGUAAUGAUAAUGAUCAAAAUUCUGCUCUCAGAAAUGUAUACACAAAUCCGAUUGAAUUUUCUGUACACUUGUAUCCAUGCAUGCUUCUAUAUAAUUGAAAAUCAAAUGGAAAGAUAAUUUAAAAGUGUUGUAUGAAAACAUUAUGUUUGUACAAAAGCUUCUGUUUCUGCAUGCUCAUAAUUUGAUGAUAUGUUCAGGCAAAAGUAGAAACACAUUACGUUUAUGCCAUGUUAGUAAAAUUCUACCUGCCCAAUUCAUUUUAAACAUAUGGACUUCAUUUUCUUUCACACCUGCCUAUAUUUAUUUGUUAUGAAAGGUUCAUGGCUGCAUGUGUUAUGUGACCUAUUCCCAUGCUGACUAGAGUU